rnacentral:snRNA from 1 species
UUGCUUCAGCAGCACAAAUACUAAUAUUGGAAUGAUACAGAGAAAUUAGUAUGGCCCCUCACAAGGAUGACAUGUAAAUUCAUGAAGCAUUCCAUGAUUUU